CUUCUUAACUUCGCGAGUAUUUGCAGUAGACCUACGAAAAUACCACCAAAAAAUACAGCUUGACCGAUACUAUAUAUUCAGAAAUACUCAUAUAAUUUUAUUGUUUCUCGCUCAAUUUCAAGCAAAUUUCUUACCUUGAAAUGAUCAAUGCGGUGAAAUUUAUGCAAAUGACAUCUUCAUGUGUGUCAAAUAAUCAUACUUGUAUUGUGAUGGGAAUAUGGGUAAGAUAUCUUUGUAUUCUCGUUGUUUCAGAGUUUCUUACCCAACAAUGUUGUCUUGUUCGAUCUAGAUAGUGGCUGUCUUUUUUUUCUUUUUUUUUCCCUAUUGCUGUGUUGGUUUAUUUCGGUUAUUUCGUUCUUCUUUUUUGCGUUUUAUUUCGUUCCUUCCAGCGUUGAUCCAUUUUUGUGAUUAAAAAUUUAUUAAAUUUUGGGGUGUUUCCAAUUACUCAGCUUCCAAUUUGUUGAUUUGUUAAUUUGUGUGAUUAAAAAUCCAAUUUAAUGUUCCGUUUUUUCAGUUGGGGUUUUUGCAUAGCCUUUCUUGAGAAAAAAAAAUAGUCUUGGGCAUUGAAGUUUUCGGAUAACCUUUUUUCUUGAGAAAAAAAUAGUCUUGGUUACUUUGUUGUUAUCAUUUCGCAUUCUUCACACAAAGUUUUUGUGCUUCGUACCGGUUGACACAAAGUUUUUGUGCAUCAUUUACCCAUAUUUGGCUUCCAUAAUGGUUUUCUUCACACUAUAGGCACACUAGGUAUAAAAAUACAUUGUAUAAACAGGGUUUUUUACCCAACACAUAGGCACACUAGAUAUAACUUUAUAGGUACACUAGGUAUAAUAGGUACACAAGGUGUAAAAAGUAUAAACAGGGUUUUUACUCAUAGGCACACUAGGUAUAACUUUAUAGGUACACUAGGUAUAAAAAAUAAUAGGUACAUUAGGUAUAAAAAUAUGUUGUAUAAACCCUGCAAUGUUUCAAGCAUUUCUGAAGCAGAUUUGCCUUUGUUGUUUUUUCAAGUUUUUUUCCUUAUUCAUUCCAGAGAAAUUAUUUUCCUUUUUCUUCACACCCAGAAGAAUUUUUUUGUGUCUGUCAGAUAAUUGCUGUUGAACUAAUCUUUCAGCACAUUCGAAAUCUGUCUGUCUCGUUACCAAUUUCACAUGCAGUUCCCUCCUUAUUCAUGUAUUGCCCUCCUUAUUCAUGUAUUGCGUUGAUGGGUGUUACCUGUUGCGUUUGAUACUAUGUUUCCUCCGCUUUUCAUUUCUUAGUUGGGUUUUUUUUUUGCAAUCUGACAUACCUCGGGUGUUAAAAAAUAUCAUGCAGGUUAUUCGGUUCUUUAAACGUUGAUGAUAAGUCUUGUUGUAUGUAUUGCUAUUGCCUCUUCUUCAUAUUAAACACAGGUGCUUCAUAUGGAUGUUUUUCAUUUUUAAGGAUGUUUCUUUUUUUGUAUAGCGUACAUAACAUUUAUAACAUAUCUGUAAUCUUUGCCAUUGUAAAAUCUUUGUAAAAAUUGCUGAAAGUCUGAAAUUAUAGUUUGUCAAUGUUUUUUUUUUCGUUUUUGUAAAGUAUGUUGAACAUUCCUUCUUCUUCUGUAUUGAGAAAGUAGUAUUGGGGUGCCAGUUGAACUAGUGGACAUUGCUAAUAGUGCCAGUUGAACUAGUGGACUUUGCUAAUGAAUAUAGUUUCGUUUCCUGUUUCUUUUCAAUCAAGUGCUUAUUGAGUUUGUGUGCUGCUUACAGGGUUUAUUUCAAAAUGUUUAAACUACCAACCCUCAUACACACGAUCUUUGCCAUUCCCCAUCAUCGUUUUUCAUACCAUAUACUUCACCACUGCCAACUCAUCUUUACCAUUGCUUUUUUCUAGAUAAAUUAUGUGGGUCGUACAACUAUACCCUUACAACACCCUUUUAUGCUAACCAUGUGCGGACCCACACAGUGCGGUAAAAACAC
rnacentral:lncRNA from 1 species